AUACGUAGGUGGCGAGCGUUAUCCGGAAUUAUUGGGCGUAAAGAGCGCGCAGGUGGUUGAUUAAGUCUGAUGUGAAAGCCCACGGCUUAACCGUGGAGGGUCAUUGGAAACUGGUCGACUUGAGUGCAGAAGAGGAAAGUGGAAUUCCUAGUGUAGCGGUGAAAUGCGUAGAUAUUAGGAGGAACACCAGUAGCGAAGGCGGCUUUCUGGACUGUAACUGACACUGAGGCACGAAAGCGUGGGGAGC
rnacentral:rRNA from 1 species